CCUACGGGCGGCAGCAGUGAGGAAUAUUGGUCAAUGGACGAGAGUCUGAACCAGCCAAGUAGCGUGAAGGAUGACUGCCCUAUGGGUUGUAAACUUCUUUUAUAUGGGAAUAAAACGUUCCACGUGUGGGAUUUUGUAUGUACCAUAUGAAUAAGCAUCGGCUAACUCCGUGCCAGCAGCCGCGGUAAUACGGAGGAUCCGAGCGUUAUCCGGAUUUAUUGGGUUUAAAGGGAGCGUAGGUGGAUUGUUAAGUCAGUUGUGAAAGUUUGCGGCUCAACCGUAAAAUUGCAGUUGAAACUGGCAGUCUUGAGUACAGUAGAGGUGGGCGGAAUUCGUGGUGUAGCGGUGAAAUGCUUAGAUAUCACGAAGAACUCCGAUUGCGAAGGCAGUUCACUGGACUGCAACUGACACUGAGGCUCGAAAGUGUGGGUAUCAAACAGGAUUAGAUACCCGAGUAGUC
rnacentral:rRNA from 1 species